AUUGAACGCUGGCGGCAGGCUUAACACAUGCGAGUCGAGCGGAGAUGAGGUGCUUGCACCUUAUCUUAGCGGCGGACGGGUGAGUAAUGCUUAGGAAUCUGCCUAUUAGUGGGGGACAACAUUCCGAAAGGAAUGCUAAUACCGCAUACGUCCUACGGGAGAAAGCAGGGGAUCUUCGGACAUUGCGCUAAUAGAUGAGCCUAAGUCGGAUUAGCUAGUUGGUGGGGUAAAGGCCUACCAAGGCGACGAUCUGUAGCGGGUCUGAGAGGAUGAUCCGCCACACUGGGACUGAGACACGGCCCAGACUCCUACGGGAGGCAGCAGUGGGGAAUAUUGGACAAUGGGGGGAACCCUGAUCCAGCCAUGCCGCGUGUGUGAAGAAGGCCUUAUGGUUGUAAAGCACUUUAAGCGAGGAGGAGGCUACUGAGACUAAUACUCUUGGAUAGUGGACGUUACUCGCAGAAUAAGCACCGGCUAACUCUGUGCCAGCCGCCGCAGUAACAC
rnacentral:rRNA from 1 species